rnacentral:rRNA from 1 species
GUCUAAUCUGCCCAAUGAUUUUAUUUAAUGGCUGCAGUAUUUAUAACUGUACAAAGGUAGCAUAAUAAUUAGUUUUUUAAUUGAAAACUAGAAUGAAAGAUUUAAUGAAAUAUAUACUAUAUAAAUAAAAUUAAAAAUUGAAAUUAAAAUUUAAGUAAAAAUUCUUAAAUUAAUUUAAAAGACGAGAAGACCCUAUAGAAUUUUAUUUUUAAUAAUUUUAAAAUUUAAUAUUAAAUUUAAAUAAGUAAUUAAAAAUUUAAUUGGGGUAAUUUUAAAAUUAAAUUAAUUUUUAUUAAAAAAACAUAAAUUAAUGAUUUAUUAAUC